rnacentral:lncRNA from 1 species
CUUUUUGGUGUCUACUUCCUUACCUUUCUCAUCUUUGUCAAGAUGGUCGGAUGUACUCAUUGGGGUGGCCAUUGCUUUGGCAUUGCUCAUUUCAAAGCGACUUAGCAACAUUUGCAAUACUUGGAUUGGAAAAUGAAAGUUCCCUCUUUCAUUUGUUUCACUUGUAGCCCCAAGAAGAAGUUUAACUCACCCAUCAUUGACAUUUCAAAUUCGCUAGUCAUUAACUUAGAGAAUUCCUCGCAU